rnacentral:rRNA from 1 species
GAUGAACGCUAGCGGCAGGCUUAAUACAUGCAAGUCGUGGGGCAGCAGGGGUGUAGCAAUACAUCUGCUGGCGACCGGCAAACGGGUGCGUAACACGUACGCAACCUUCCCGUUACUGUGGCAUAGCCCAGGGAAACUUGGAUUAAUACCACAUAUUAUAUAGAGAGGGCAUCCUUUUUAUAUCAAAGCUUCGGCGGUAACGGAUGGGCGUGCGGUUGAUUAGGUAGUUGGCGGGGUAACGGCCCACCAAGCCUACGAUCGAUAGCUGAUGUGAGAGCAUGAUCAGCCACACGGGCACUGAGACACGGGCCCGACUCCUACGGGAGGCAGCAGUAAGGAAUAUUGGGCAAUGGACGAAAGUCUGACCCAGCCAUGCCGCGUGAAGGAUUAAGGUCCUCUGGAUUGUAAACUUCUUUUCUCUGGGGCGAAAACCAGCUAUUCUUAGCUAUUUGACAGUACCAGAGGAAUAAGCACCGGCUAACUCCGUGCCAGCAGCCGCGGUAAUACGGAGGGUGCAAGCGUUAUCCGGAUUCACUGGGUUUAAAGGGUGCGUAGGUGGGCUAGUAAGUCAGUGGUGAAAUCCCCGAGCUUAACUUGGGAACUGCCGUUGAUACUAUUAGUCUUGAAUAUCGUGGAGGUAAGC